CAGUGGAGCGUGUGGUUUAAUUCGAAGCAACGCGCAGAACCUUACCAGGUCUUGACAUCCCCUGACAGCCUCAGAGAUGAGGUGUUCUGGUUUCCAGACAGGGAGGCAGGUGUUGCAUGGUUGUCGUCAGCUCGUGUCGUGAGAUGUUGGGUUAAGUCCCGCAACGAGCGCAACCCCCGUUCUGUGUUGCCAGCGUAAAGUCGGGCACUCACAGGAGACUGCCGGAGACAAUUCGGAGGAAGGUGGGGAUGACGUCAAAUCCUCAUGGCCCUUAUGACCUGGGCUACACACGCGCUACAAUGGCCUGUACAGAGGGAAGCGAAAGAGCGAUCUGGAGCGAAUCUCACAAAACAGGUCUCAGUUCGGAUUGCAGGCUGAAACCCGCCUGCAUGAAGCCGGAAUUGCUAGUAAUCGCAGAUCAGCUACGCUGCGGUGAAUACGUUCUCGGGCCUU
rnacentral:rRNA from 2 species